GAACCGUCCAAACGUUAUUCGGAUUUAUUGGGCUUAAAGGGUAUGUAGGCGGCGCUGUCAGUCGGGUGUGAAAUCCCUCGGCUCAACCGAGGAACUGCGCCCGAUACUGCAGCGCUUGAGGGAGACAGAGGUAAGCGGAACUGAUGGUGGAGCGGUGAAAUGCGUUGAUAUCAUCAGGAACACCAGUGGCGAAAGCGGCUUACUGGGUCUCUUCUGACGCUGAGAUACGAAAGCUAGGGGAGCGAACGGGAUUAGAUACCCCGGUAGUCCUAGCUGUAAACGAUGAGCACUUGAUCGUGGGGCCCCCCAUAGCCUCUCGGUCGCAGCGAAAGCGGUAAGUGCUCCGCCUGGGGAGUAUGGUCGCAAGGCUG
rnacentral:rRNA from 1 species